rnacentral:rRNA from 1 species
UACAGAGGGGGCAAGCGUUGUUCGGAAUUACUGGGCGUAAAGGGCGCGUAGGCGGCCUUCUAAGUCGAACGUGAAAUCCCUGGGCUCAACCCAGGAACUGCGUCCGAUACUGGAAGGCUUGAAUCCGGGAGAGGGAUGCAGAAUUCCAGGUGUAGCGGUGAAAUGCGUAGAUAUCUGGAGGAAUACCGGUGGCGAAGGCGGCAUCCUGGACCAACACUGACACUGAGGAGCGAAAGCCAGGGGAGCAAACGGG